GCCCUCGGAGAAGCACCGUGGCCGCUACUGCUCCGCGUCGCCGCUCCUCACCCACCCACCGCGACCGCCUCCUCUCCCGGAACCCUAGCCAGCCGCACGCAACCCAUGGCGUCGCCCAGCUCGCCGCCCUCGGCCAUCACGUCGUCGCGGGGCUCCUCGCGCAGCACGGCCUCCGCCAAGGCCGCACCCGAGGCCGACCAGGAGGCCACGGUCUCCAAACGCUCCCGCAAGAGCAGCACGUCCGGGAAGAAGAACUCGGCGCCCAAGGCGGUGGCGGGAAAGAAGCCGAAGAAUUGGUGAGAGACUCCCUGGUUCACCACUGCUAGAUGUACAAGCAGCAGAAGCAAACCUCCCCUCCGCUCAUUGCUGCUGGUACAGACUCGAGUUGUCGAUGUAGAUCGAUCUAGUGCCCCCUCCUCAGUUUUUUUGUUUGGUGGUACGUGGAUCUGCUCGUGCACUGGUGAGCCACCCGUUCUACUCCACCUUUUCCUCUGAUAUUCAGUGCAAUUCAUGCAUUGCUUUGUGCUCAGUUGAUGUGGAAUGUGCUUAAUGUUUCCCAGUAGAAAGCUCAGUAUGGCCAUGUGUUGUUCAGCACUGGCUCAUGAUAAUGUUCCUGUUUAGGAACAAAUUUAUCACUCAUUGUUUUUCCAGAGUGAGUUAUAAUCAAUAAUAAUUGUUCCUUUUAUGAGUGAGCUUAUUGUUCUUUUUUUAUUUGCAUAAUGGGGAGCUAAUAAACCCGGGGUCCCGGCAGAUAUACCUCAUCUUCACGGCGGACGGCACCUUCCGCGAGGAGGACAACUCCAACUAUUUCAGCGCAUUAUCUACAGUCCUGUCCACGACGUGCACAUCCCCUACCAGCAGAACGACAUGUUCGGGUUCGUCACCUUCGUCUACAAGAAGAAGGGCAAGGUCCCCGGCAAGUUCAGGCAAGCCCACGGUGAUCUUUGCCUCUUACUUCCGGCAGCAGUAACUA